rnacentral:rRNA from 1 species
CAGCAGCCGCGGGAAUACGGAGGGUGCAAGCGUUAAUCGGAAUUACUGGGCGUAAAGCGCACGCAGGCGGUUUGUUAAGUCAGAUGUGAAAUCCCCGAGCUUAACUUGGGAACUGCGUUUGAAACUGGCAAGCUAGAGUCUUGUAGAGGGGGGUAGAAUUCCAGGUGUAGCGGUGAAAUGCGUAGAGAUCUGGAGGAAUACCGGUGGCGUAGGCGGCCCCCUGGACAAAGACUGACGCUCAGGUGCGAAAGAGUAGGGAGCAAACAGGAUUAGAUACCCGCGUAGUCCCUGUCUCUUAUAC